rnacentral:rRNA from 1 species
UGCCAGCAGCCGCGGUAAGACGAGGGGUCCUAGCGUUGUUCGGAAUCAUUGGGCGUAAAGCGCAUGCAGGCGGCCUGAUAAGUCAGAUGUGAAAUCCCUGGGCUCAACCCAGGACGUGCAUUUGAUACUGUUAGGCUUGAGUACCGGAGAGGGUUGUGGAAUUCCUGGUGUAGUGGUGAAAUACGUAGAUAUCAGGAGGAACAUCGGUGGCGAAGGCGGCAGCCUGGCCGAGUACUGACGCUCAGAUGCGAAAGCGUGGGGAGCAAACAGGAUUAGAUA